UCUUUAUCAUUUAUUACACGUUAACAAGGAUGGAACGAUGCAGAUAGCGCUAAUAACGUCUUUUCCCGAACACACCCUUCAUUGGCUUGGCCGACGAUGAAGGACCCUAUGUUCCGAUAUUAACUGCCAGUACUGAAAAUGUAUAGUAUAUGUGACGUGAACUAUAAAUUUUCAGUACUGCCAGUAAAAACGGAACACAGCCGAAACACCGAGCGUUAGCAGUGGAGGUGGAAAGUGGUGGAGAGAGAGAAUCGUAAAAAGAGUAGCCAGAAAAAAUGAAAAGGAAUGUAAGAUUGGCUGGAAAAGGGAUGUCCCGUUCAUCCGUUUCCGGAAAAUGGGAUACCUGAGGUUUACAAGGAUGAUCCGGAAACGCGGUACUGUGAUCGAGAGCGAUUCCAACGAAGAACAUAGCCAAGCCCCAUCCGAGACUUCCAAACAUGCGUUGAUGACCAUAUCUGAUGAUUAAGAUGCAUUUUACGUAAGUUUAUGAUUAUUAAAUGCUUAAGUCUUAAAGUUGAAAGAUCGUGUCGAAGCAAUUUAUUAUUUUUCUCGAAAGUGUUUUAAUGAAAACAAGAACAAAAUAAAAUUGCCACAUAUUCUUCAACGAAUAUUCUUCAACGAAUACCUAUACUGGUUACGUUACCUAUCGGCGUCUUCACCGAGUAAAGUAAUAACGGCUGAAUCGGCUAAUGUUAUGGCAGGCGCCGAAAAAAAUUCACCGACUACUACCA